rnacentral:misc_RNA from 1 species
GGAAAUAAAAGUCGUAACAAGGUUUCCGUAGGUGAACCUGCGGAAGGAUCAUUAUUGUAUAACCGAGGUGCGAGGGCUGUCGCUGACCCGAAAGGUCGUGCACGCCCGAGUGCCCUCACACACAUCCAUCUCACCCCCUAUGUGCACCACCGCGUGGGUCCCCCUUUGGCUUGUUCGGAGGGGGGCUUACGUUUUCACACAAACUUUGUAUGCAGUGUAGAAUGUAUUUUUUGUUUUUGCGAUCACGCAAUCAAUACAACUUUCAACAACGGAUCUCUUGGCUCUC